rnacentral:misc_RNA from 1 species
GAUGAAGAACGUAGCGAAAUGCGAUACUUGGUGUGAAUUGCAGAAUCCCGCGAAUCAUCGAGUUUUUGAACGCAAGUUGCGCCCGAAGCCAUUCGGCCGAGGGCACGUCUGCCUGGGUGUCACGCAUCGUUGCCCCCCCAAACUCCGGUUCGGGCGGGGCGGAAGUUGGCCUCCCGUGCGUGCCUGCGCGCGCGGUUAGCCCAAAAGCGAGUCCUCGGCGAUGAGCGCCACGACAAUCGGUGGUUUUGUUGCCCUCGUUCCUCGUCGUGCGUGCCCCGUCGCCCGAACGCGCUCUUGCAACCCUUACGCGUCGCCUCGGUGGCGCUCCCAACGCGACCCCAGGUCAGGCGGGACUACCCGCUGAGUUUAAGCAUAUCAAUAAGCGGAGGA